GCGAGCAGGAAGACUUCCUGAGGCGGCGGAGCCGGGGCCGCGAGGCAGAGGUGUGCGCUUUUGGACCUGGGGAUCUGAAAGGCUUUGCUCCUGAAGUGAAGGUGCAGCAGCUGGACCCUGGGUGUCAGGGAGGCCUCCCUGCUUGGCAAGGGCUUUGGAGGCGUGAGAAUCCGGAACCGGCAACGCGCUUUCUCCUAUUGGCCAACUCAACGAUUCCUAUUUGCAUAUGCAAUACCAGGCAGGGCUGUCCGACGAAGUCACGUGGCCAAGAACAACUGAAGGACCCCGCGGCGAAAGGGUGCGGCCGGAGCUCCAGUGGCGCAAUCGGUUAGCGCGCGGUACUUAUAUGACAGUGCGAGCGGAGCAAUGCCGAGGUUGUGAGUUCGAUCCUCACCUGGAGCACUUUAGUUUUCUCUUAUCAGUUUUUAUAAAUUGAUGCAUAUUAUAAAUUAACCCAAACACACAUCACCUAAGAGUUUCCUCUUUCGAACAUUUCGAUCUUGGGAAUUUUCCAGCUAGAAAGACUCCUGGGACUCUGGCGACGGUCGCUUAGGGAGCGAGUGUUGUGUGUUGCGGGGAGGUUCCGUUUUUAUCCUGGCCGCCAGAGGGUGGUAUCGCCCCUUAGAUGCCUGGGCCUUCCCUUGGGUCUACAAAUCUCAGCGUAAGACUUCUCUAAAUGUGUCAGGCUGUGCAUCCUCCGCAAACUGUACAUGGCACUGCCUCUUUCUCUGUCUUGGAUUUUCCUUCCAGUUUCAUUGAGAUGUAAUUGCCAAAUAACAUUAAAUUGAUUCAAGGUGUAGAACAUAAUGAAUUGAUACAUGUCUAAAUGGUGAAAUGAUCAUCACAAGUUUAGUUACUAAUUUUUCUUUCUUGUAUGUCUUGGAGUUUUUUAACACCCUCUUCCCCUCUCCGUUUCUGAAUCAAUUUGUUUACUGAACAUUCAUUAUGUGACCGGCUCCUGUUUACGGUUUAGGUGUGGGCGAUACAGGAGGGACCCAGAUAAAUCCGUACCCCUCAUGAUGUGACAUUCUAGCGGGGGAAGACAGAUUGCUACAGACAUAAGAACUAAGUGCAUUUUUUAUGUUAGGUGGUGAUCAAUGUCAUGGAAAAAGUAGAGCAACGACCGAAGGUAGGGAGGAUGGGGGAGUGAGAGGUGGGGUGUGGGUUGCAAUAAGAGCAGUCAGGGACCAUCUCACUGAGGAGACAUUUGAUCGGACACCAGAAGGAGAGGAGUGAGCCACGGGGCCACCUGGGGGACUCUUCCAGGCAGAGAAACAGCCAGUGCAAAAGCCCUGUGGCUGAAAAAUGUCAGAGGUAUUGGUGGAGCAGCUAGGAAGCCAGUGUGACCACAAGAGUGACCAAAGAUUACAGCCAGUCCCUGUAGGCUGGUGAGGACUUAGGACUUUGGCUAUGUGGUCUGACGCAGGUGUCAUGACAGGUUCCCUUUCGUUAUCUAGUGGGGGAGUGGGGACAGACUGAGGGCAGCAGGGGCCUGAGCCAGGAGCCCAGGAAGGGGCUGCAGGGGGAAGAUGAUGCUGGAUGGGACCAGGGGUGUAGCCAGAGGAGGCGGGAGGCUGGCUUGUAGAUCCAUUUGGAAGGUGAAUCCGACAGGAUUGCUGUUCGCCUGGGAUGUGGAUUUGAGAGAGAGGCGGAGUCAAGGAGACUCCCAGGUGUCUGGCAGCGCUGGCUGGUGGUCGGUGCUGUCGUCUCAAACGAGGGGUUUUUGUUGUUGCCAAGGGAAGGACCAGAGAUGUCUGUUUCUUGUCCCUUCAGUGCUUGUCAACGUCCGCAGGGCUUGCUCUUGCCCUCUGCCUCCCAAUGGCCUUGGGCCUCUGCGUUUCUGUCUGUCUCAACCCUCUUGUACCUAUGGGGACCUGAGCCCUUUCCCACAAGGGGGGGCCGCUUCCUGGAAGAGGAGAUGAAAGGUCGGGGCCUGCCAGUGGGCAAGGGGAGAGGGCAAGGAGGCAAGAGGA